rnacentral:piRNA from 1 species
CUAGCACUACAGGUGUUUCAGGCUGGG